rnacentral:rRNA from 1 species
UGAGGAAUUUUCCACAAUGGGCGAAAGCCUGAUGGAGCGACGCCGUGUGUGCGAUGAAGUCUUUCGGGAUGUAAAGCACUGUCAGAGGGGACGAUAAUGACGGUACCCUCAGAGGAAGCCACGGCUAACUACGUGCCAGCAGCCGCGGUAAUACGUAGGUGGCGAGCGUUAUCCGGAAUUAUUGGGCGUAAAGCGCGCGUAGGUGGCUAUAUAAGUCAGAUGUUAAAGUCUCCGGCUCAACCGGAGUUCGCAUCUGAUACUGCAUAGCUAGAGAGGUUCAGAAGAAAGCGGAACUUGCGGUGUAGCGGUGAAAUGCGUAGAUAUCGCAAGGAACACCAGUGGCGAAGGCGGCUUUCUAGGAAUCUUCUGACACUGAGGCGCGAAAGCUAGGGGAGCAAACGGG